UACGGGGGGAGCAAGCGUUGUUCGGAUUUACUGGGCGUAAAGGGCGCGUAGGCGGUCGUGACAAGUCACUCGUGAAAUCUCCGGGCUUAACUCGGAACGGUCAAGUGAUACUGUCGGACUAGAGUACAGAAGGGGCAACUGGAAUUCUCGGUGUAGCGGUGAAAUGCGUAGAUAUGCGGAGGAACACCGAUGGCGAAGGCAAUCCCCUGGGCCUGCACUGACGCUCAUGCACGAAAGCGUGGGGAGCAAACAGG
rnacentral:rRNA from 1 species